rnacentral:rRNA from 1 species
UGAGGAAUAUUGGACAAUGGAGGCAACUCUGAUCCAGCCAUGCCGCGUGAAGGACUAAGGCCCUAUGGGCUGUAAACUUCUUUAGACGCAGAGCAAUAAGGGCCACGCGUGGUCCGAUGAGAGUAUGCGUAGAAUAAGCAUCGGCUAACUCCGUGCCAGCAGCCGCGGUAAUACGGGGGAUGCGAGCGUUAUCCGGAUUCAUUGGGUUUAAAAGGGUGCGUAGGCGGCUUUGCAAGUCAGCGGUGAAAGGCCCGGGCUCAACCCGGAAAGUGCCGUUGAUACUGUGAGGCUGGAAUGCGGAUGCUGUGGGAGGAAUGAGUGGUGUAGCGGUGAAAUGCAUAGAUAUGCCACAGAACACCGAUAGCGAAGGCAGCUGGCCGGGCCUGCAUUGACGCUGAGGCACGAAAGCGUGGGGGAUCGAACAGGAUUAGAUACCCUGGUAGGU